AUGGAUUAUCAAAGUAGGCAAUUAGCCGAAGACUUUUUUUUACGAGAACCCGUUGAUGCUCGUAUAAGGAAACCCAAAGAUGAUACAAAGGAAGAGAGCCACCCUAAUCUUAAGGUGGAGAUGCAAACCAUCCGUCUUAAUUCUGACUCUCAGAAGCUGGUGCUAGAUACAUUGAGGUAUAUCCAUGGUCCUGACUUCAAGCUGGAUAGUGCUAGUCUUUAUAAAGAUAAAGGUACAAAUCUCAGUAACCGUUACUGGAUGGAGCGUGGUAACUUAGUGGUGCGAGGAGGAUGUGACUACUCGUUGAAUGUGAAACCAGAUAUAGAGACUUCUGAGGCUAGGCUGAGAGCUUUUGCAUUAGCAAAGCUAGAGAAAUAUAACUUCCUAAAACCUCAUUGUGCUGAAGCAUUAGAACUAGCUGCCGAAAAUGUGGAUAAAGCAUUAGAAAUAUUAUUUUAUAAAUAUUUCAAAGUGGAUCCACAGGACAAGCCCAAUGAUGUACCAUCAACAGCUGAAUUAUUAGAAAUGAGAAUGGAUGAGAGGGCAGUGCUUGAAUCAAUUUAUGACACAAGUUUUAAAAUCAAAGAAAAUGAUGUAUGGUCUGUUAAAUUGAAUCUAGAUUAUAUAACAAAGCAAUAUGAAAAUAAAGAUGUCGAACUGCCGAAAAAGACGCACAAUAUACAUUACAAUAAAAAUUACAAUAGUAAUAUUAAACCAAAAUCUAAAGAGGUGUGUAAACUUUACUUAAAAAGCCCUUGUAGAUUUGGUGAUAAAUGUAAGUUUUUACAUGAAAACAAAGUUCAAGAAAUUAAAACAAAAGAUAUUGUUAAAGAAAGUGAAAAGAUUACUUAUGAAUUAGAGAUAAGAUUUCCAGAAGACACUGCAUAUCCAUACCAACCUCCAUUGUUGUUUUUCAAACCUGAGAUUCCUACGAAAACUAUACCUGAAUUGGCAUGUUUAAGGAUAACAGCAAAAUUAUUGGAGGAGGCCAAGACUUUGGCUCAAGAUGGUAUCCCUAGUAUUUACUCAUUAGUUGAAUUACUUAAUAAUGAAGAUGAAAUAUUGAAUUUUCUUAAAUUUGAUACAAGAACAUUUCCUGCUCUUUCUGAUACUCUAUUUCCUCAGUUAUUAGAAAAUCCCAAUUCACAUAAAGAGAAUUUACCAUCUCAUUAUAAGAAAGGCCAAGAUAAAAAUAAUAGGAACAAUGUUAAUUUUGAAGAAAUAUUAAAAGAAAACAAAGAAAUAGCUAAAAGAUGGCUUGACAAAAGGGAUAAUAGUAGGUACAAUAAAAUGAUGGCGGACAGAAGAAAACUUCCAGCUUGGAAGAUGAAAAAUGACAUAUUGAAUGCAAUUAAAAAAUCGCAGGUUAUUGUCAUUAGUGGAGAAACAGGUUGCGGUAAAAGUACACAAGUGCCCCAAUAUAUUCUAGACGAUUGGUUAGCAAAUUUUAACAAAGAUGGUCCUGAGCAUGCAGAGAUUAUAUGCACGCAGCCGAGAAGAAUAUCAGCUAUUGGUGUUGCUGACAGAGUAGCAGAUGAAAGGGUAGAAAAAACUGGCCAAAUUGUGGGUUACCAGAUAAGAUUAGAAAGUAAAGUGUCAUCAAAGACACGCUUAACGUUUUGUACUACUGGUAUAUUGUUACGUAGAUUAGAAUACGACCCACAGUUGAAGUCCGUCACUCAUAUAUUGGUCGAUGAAGUUCACGAGAGGUCAGAAGAGAGUGAUUUCCUUUUACUCAUCCUAAGGGACCUUAUCAAAGUAAGAAAAGACUUGACUGUUAUACUAAUGAGUGCGACAUUGAACGCCGAGUUGUUUUCGGAUUACUUUGACAAAGUUCCAGUUUUGGAGAUACCCGGUAGAACAUUUCCAGUGGAGCAACUGUUCCUAGAAGAUAUUAUGGAAAUUACAAAUUAUGUUCUAGAAGAAAACGGUCCUUAUGCACGUAAAACAAAAAAAGGGGAUAAAGACAAGAGGCAAGACUUAGAAACUGAAUUGGAGACGUGUGAUGUCCGCGCUGAGUCCAACGAACCCCCAAAGCAGUCAAUACGAGAUGAGAACUUAAGUGUCGCGCAAGUUAUAGCUCGGUACCCACGCUGUAGUAAAACGACUUGUAAGAACCUACAUCUUAUGGAUACUGAGAAGAUAAAUCUGGAUUUAGUGGAACAUGUCUUGACAUACAUAGUGAACGGUGACCACAAGUGGCCAAGAGAGGGCGCUAUAUUAAUAUUCUUACCUGGAAUAGCUGAAAUUAUGUCCUUACAUGACCAGUUAGCCAAUAGCCCAAUAUUUAGUCGCAAAAAAGGGAACUAUUUAUUAGUGCCUCUACAUUCCACAUUGUCAAGUGAGGAGCAAUCACUUGUAUUUAAGAAACCCCAGGCUGGAGUACGCAAGAUUGUACUGUCGACUAAUAUAGCGGAGACAUCUGUCACUAUAGACGACUGCGUGUUUGUUAUAGACUGUGGUAGAAUGAAGGAGAAACGGUUCGAUUCUAACCGCAACAUGGAAUCUCUCGAUCUAGUUUGGGUGUCUCGUGCAAACGCCAAACAGCGGCGCGGUCGGGCGGGUCGUGUUAUGCCCGGCGUUUGCGUCCAUUUGUACACAUCUCACAGAUACAACUACCAUAUAUUGGAGCAGCCGGUACCAGAAAUACAUAGGAUACCCCUCGAACAAUUACUGCUGAAAGUGAAAAUAUUACCAUUGUUUAAAAAUAUGAGUGUACAUGAAGUUUUAGGAAAAACGAUAGAACCGCCAUCGAAAUCAAACAUAGAUGGCGCUCUCUCUCGGUUGCAAGAUGUGGGUGCGUUAGACAAGAGUUUCGCCCUUACUGCGCUCGGAAAACAUUUAGCCGCUCUGCCUGUUGACGUUCGGAUAGGCAAGCUAAUGCUGUUUGGUGCUAUAUUCUGUUGUGUGGACUCGGCUUUAACUAUGGCGGCUUGUUUGAGUUAUAAAAGUCCGUUUGUCGCGCCUUUCGGCAAAAAGUGACCCGUGAUUGUAUCAACAAAAAAUCGGACCACAAUUACACAAUUAGGAUAAUUCGGAGGCCGAUGCUAAGCGACGGGAGUUCGCGUGUUCUAAUAGCGAUCAACUGACCACUUUGAAAGCCUAUAGGAAAUGGCAGCAGGCA
rnacentral:misc_RNA from 1 species